CACUGGAGGACCAACUGGCAGGAUGACCUGCUGAAGACCUAAGUGGUGCUUUGUUACUGUCACCUUAACAUGAAGAUACCACAGCAUUUCCUAUUCUAUCCUUAAAAGAAGGAAUCUUCAUGAUGGAAAGGAGAUGCUCCCCCACCAGAUCCUGAAAGAUGAAUGUGAUCUGCCAGGUAAAGAGGAGGGAAACAGCAUUCUGGAUAAAGCGAACAACAUGGGGAAAACCACAAAGGCACUAGGGAGGCCAUGGAGACCCCACCAGAUGGUCUUGAACAAGUG